AUUGAUGCUUAUGGUUUUUUUUUUUUCAAAAGGGGAAAAUCUAUAGGCUUUUUGGUUGGGAGUAUAGGAAACCAGAGAGGGCUCCUGCAGCAUGUCCAUACAAGCCUGCAGCCAAGAGGGAUACUGCUAAAGUUGAGGCCGAUACUGAACCAGCUCAAGUAGAACCUAUUAAACCUGCAAGUGUAGAUGUCAAGCAGGAUUAACGUCCAUUGUUAUCAGUAUCAACAAUAUGUGGUUGCAAUGCUCCCAACUUUCACCAACUAGGAAAAGAUCAAAAUGACAUCAAAUACAAUGCUAUCUGUAUAAUUUAAAAUGAUGCAUGAGAACUGACUAGAAAUGUUCAAUAUGUUAUUCUGUAAUUUACAGGAGAAUAUGCUUAAAGUUUGUCAUCACCACGACUUCAUUUC